AAGAGCCUAUGAGAAAGUACAAAAAACAGAGACCCACUUGUUCACACACUCAGGGAUCUCAUAAAAACACUAAACUAGAAGCCACAAUGUAAUAUGCAAAGGACCUGGAGCAGAGGCUGUGUGAGCUGCCCCAGUUUCUGUAAAUUCAUAGGUCCAUUGGUCAUGUUGAUUUAGAGGGCCUUGUUUACUUUGUGUCCUCCAUCCCCUCUGGCUUUUACAUUCUUUCUGCCUCCUUUUCCACAUGGUUCCCUGAUCCCUGUGUGGAGGGAUUUGAUGCAGGCAUCCUAUUUAGGGCCUAGUAUUUCAAGGUCUCUAACUUUCUGUCUGUCUGUCUGUGGAUCUAUGUCAUUGUUCCCGUCUGCUGCAGGAAGAAGCUUCUCUGAUGGCUGAGCAAGGCACUGAUUAAUGAUAUAACAAAAUGUCAUUAGGAGUCAUUUUAUUGCUACUUUAUAAAAGAACAGUAGUAUUUGAAUUUACUACUAGGUCCCUAGUCUAUCUCGUCUCUGGUUCUUGAUCAUCAAAGCAGUUCUGGGCAUGGGCUCCACCUCACAGAGGGGCCUUACGUCAACUCAGAUAUUGGUUACUCCCGCAAACUUUGCUCCACCAUUGCUCUAACAUUUCUUACAGGCAUACCAUCUAUUUAUCCCGUAGAAGCCUGUAUGCUUUCUAAUGAGAGACAGAAAAGGGUUUGUGGCUAGAUUUAGUGUUUAUGUUUCUCUUUGGGUAGCGCACACAACACCUUCCUGUACCAAAGACAAUAGCAUGUGGGCGUGAGGCUCUAUGUAGACACCUGCUCAACUUGGCAUGUUCAAUGAGUUGUCUUCAGCAGUGGGGCUUGGGUGUUACCUUGUGAAGAGCAGCCUGUAGUCUUUGCAACAGCCUGGGUUGCUUGGGGGCCGUUUAGUCAACAACUCAAUCAUAUAUAACACAGUUCCAGUACUAGAAGCUUUAUUUGGUUAGAAGAAAUAGUCAGGGGGUAUCUUUCUUCCCCAUCAUUUGGCAGUUUCAUUUAGAUUGCCUUCAUAUACGAAUAUAUUUUAGGAUGCUUCUAAUAUUAGGUUUAGUAUUAGGUUUCCAUACUAUCCCUUAUAUGGCCCUUAAUUCUCUCCCUGAAAUCUCUCCUACGCCCUUCUCUUCCCUUUCCCCUCUUGAUCUUCCCAUUCUAACACCAUCCCAUCUACCCAUAACUAUAUUUUAUUUCUAUCUUUACAUUUCUUAUAUAUUUAACUUCUACCUCUGUGGUUCUGUGGGUUAUAGCUUGGUUAUCAUUGACUGAAGAGCUGACAUCCAAAUUUAAGUGAAUACAUUCAUAUUUGGCUUCUGGGUCUAAGUUGCCUCAUUCAGCAUGAGCCUUUUCUAGUUCCGUUUAUUUAUUAAUACAUUUCAUAAUUUCACUUUUUCAUGGUGAAUAAUACCACAUUGUGUAAAUGUACCAUAUAUUCUUUAUCUAUUCUUGUGUUGAGGGACGUCAGGGUAGUUUCCAAUUUCUGGCUAUUAUUAAUAGAGUAGCAAUGAAUAUGGUUGAGCUAGUGACUUAAUAAUCAUUUUUGAAAUGUCUCUUUGGUGUAUGCCCAAGAGACAUACACCAAGAGACAUUUGGUGUAGCUGGAUCUUGAGGUAGAUUUAUUUUCAUAUUUCUGAGGAACCACCACACUGAUUUGCAUAGUGGCUAUACAACUUUUCACUCCCACCAAGCAAUAGAUGAGCGCUCCUGUUAUUCCACAUCUUAACCAGUGUUAACUGUCAACUGUUUUAUUGAUCUUAGCCAUUCUGAUGGGUGUGAAAUAAAAUCUCAAAGUAAUUUUGAUUUGCAUUUCUCUGAUGGCUAAGGACAUUGAAUAUCAAGUGUUUCUCAGCUAUUUGAGUUUCCUCUUUUGAGAAUUCUCUGUAAUCCAUCUUUUUUCCCAAAUUUUUAUUAGGUAUUUUUUUCAUUUACAUUUCAAAUGCUAUCCCGAAAGUCCCCUAUACCCUCCCCACCCUGCUCCCCUCCCCACCCACUCUCACUUCUUGGCCCUGGUGUUCCCCUGUACUGGGGCAUAUAAAGUUUAUAAGACCAAGGGGCCUCUCUUCCCAAUGAUGGCCGACUAGGCCAUCUUAUGCUACAUAUGCAGUUAGAGACAUGAGCUCUGGGGGUACUGGUUAGUUAAUAUUGUUGUUCCACCUAUAGGGUUGCAGACCCCUUCAGCUCCUUGGGUACUUUCUCUAGCUCCUCCAUUGGGGGCUCUGUGUUCCAUCCAAUGGAUGACUGUGAGCAUCUACUUCUGUGUUUGCCAGGCACUGGCAUAGCCUCACAAGAGACAGCUAUAUCAGGGUCCUUUCAGCAAAAUCUUGCUGGCGUAUGCAAUAGUGUCUGCGUUUGGUGGCUGAUUAUGGGAUGGAUCCCCGGUGGAGCAGUCUCUGGAUGGUCCAUCCUUUCAUCUCAGCUCCAAACUUUGUCUCUGUAACUCCUUCCAUGGUGUUUUGUUCCCAAUUCUAAGAAGGGACGAAGUGUCCACACUUUGGUCUUCGUUCUUGAGUUUCAUGUGUCUGUAACCCAUUUUUAAAAUUGAAUUAUUUGAUGUAUUUUAGGUGUUAUAUUUUUGAAAAUCUCUGUCUAUCUAUCUAUCUAUCUAUCUAUCUAUCUAAUUAUCUAUCAUCUAUCUAUCUUAUCUAUCUAUCUAUCUAUCUAUCUAUCUAUCUAAAUUGUCUGUCUGUCUAUAUAUUUUGGAUAUUAGCCCUUUAUUGGAUAUAUAUGUAGUUGGUAAAAAUAUCUUCCCAUUCCAUAGGCUUCCAAUCUAUCUGAAUGUCAGUGCCCUUUGUUGUGCAGAAGCCUUUCAGUCUCAUGAGGUACCAUCUAUGAAUUGUUUUCCUCACUACCUGUGCUAAUGAUGUUUUGUUCAGAAAGUCUUUUUUCCUGUGCGAAUGCAUUCAAGGCUGUCUCCCACUAUCAGGUUCAGUGUAUCUGGUUUUAUGCUGAGAGUUGGAGUUGAUUUUUUUGUGCAGGGUGAUACGUAUGGAUCUAUUUAAAUUAUUCUACAUGCAGCCUUCUUUAAUUUAUUUCUUAAUUUCUGUUUUGAUCUAUAUUUUUUCCUUUCAGUGGAGAGUUGUUCAGUUUCCAUGAGUUUGCACACUUUCUGUUGUUUUUGUUGUUGAUAUCCAUCUUUAAUCUGUGGUGGUCAGAUGGGAUGCAGGGUUUUCUUUCAAUUUUCUUUUAUCUAUUGACAGUUGCUUUGUGUCUGAGUAUGUGGUGAGUUUUGUUCAAACUUCCAUGAGGUGCUAAGAAGAAAGGUGUAUCCUUUUGGGUUUGGGGGAAAUGUUUUCUAAGUAUCUGUUAGGUACACUUGUUUUAUAAGGUCAAUUAGCUCCAACAUUUCUCUGUUUAGUUUUUGUUUAUUUGACCUCUCUGUUGGCAAGAGUGGGUAUGGAAGUCUCCUACUAUCAGUAUGAGAUGGUCAAUAAGUGAUUUAAUCUGUGGUAUAGUUUCUUUUAUGAAUUUGGGUGCCCCUGGGUAUAGAGCAUAGAUGUUAGGAGUUGCCAUGUCCUCUUAGUGGAUUUUUCCUUUGAGUAUGAAGUGUCCCUUCCAAUAUCUUCUAUUAAAGUUUUAGUUAGAAGUCUAUUUUGUCAAAUUUUAAAAUGGCUACACAAUUGCCUUUCUUAUGUCCAUUUGCUUGGAAUAUCUGUUUAAAUUAUUUUACUCUGAGGUAAUAUCUACCCUUGAUGUUGAGGUAUGUUUCUUGGAUGCAGCAGAAGGAUAGAUUGUAUAUUCACAUCCAUUCUAUUAGUCUAUGUCUUUUUUUAUUGGGGAAUUAAGCCCAUUGAUGUUGAGAGAUCUCAAUGAGCAAGUGGUAUUUGUCAAUUUCUGUUCUUUUGGGGUGUGUGUGUGUGUUUGUGUGUGUAUCUGUGUUGCCCUCUUUUUGGAUAUGCUUGUGUGAGAUUAUGUAUUUAUUGUGUUUUCUUAGGUGUGGCUAACCUCUUUUGUUUGUAGUUUUCCUUCUAGUGCCUCCUAAUGAUGUUUGUUUUAUCAUAGAAUGUCUUAUUUUCUCCAUCUAUUGUGGUUGAAAGUUUUGCUGGGUAUGGUAAUUUGGGCUGGCAUCUGUGGUCAGAGUGUGUAGAACAUGUCCAGGCCCUUCUAUUUUUUAAAUUCUCUAUUGAGUGUUAUUUUAAUAGGUCUGCCUUUAUAUAUUACUUGGCCUUUUUCCUUGCAGCUUUUAAUAUUCUUUCUUUGUUCCACAUGUGUAUUGUUUUGUUAUUAUGUGCCAAGGUGAAUUUCUUUUCUGGUCCAAUCUAUUUGGUGUUCUGUAUGCUUCUUGUACCUUUGAUAGGCAUCUCCUUUAGGUUAGCGACAUUUUCUUCUAUGAUGUUGUUGAAAAUAUUUUCUGUGCAUUCAACCUGUAUUCCUUCUCCUUCCUAUUUUUCUAUUAUUUUUAGAUUUGGUCUUUCAUGGUGUCCUAGAUUUCCUGGAUGUUUUGUGUCAGGCUUUUUUUAGGUUUAACAUUUUCUUUGACCACAGUAUCUAUUUGUCCUAUUGUGUCUUCUAUGCCUGAGAUUCCUUCUUCCAUCUCUUGUAUUCUAUUGGUAGACCUUCCCUCUGAGGUUCGUAUCCAAGUUCCUAAAUUUUUUAUUUCCAGAUUUCCUUUAGCUUGUGUUUUCUUCAUUGAUUUUAUUUCUACUUUCAGUUCUUUUUUAAAAAAAUCUUUUAAAUUUACUUUACAUCAUUUUUACAGCUUGCUCCCUCCCUCCUCUCUUCCCAGCCCAACUCUAAAAAACCCCUCUUUUUAUUGCCCCCUCUUCUUGUCAAAGGGGAUACUACCCUACCCUGGGGCAUUUAGUCCUGUCCUGCUGAGGCCCAUUCAGGUCAAAGUAUGGGGGAACCAGGAUCCAAUGGCAGGGAACAAAGUCUGAGACAUCCCAUGUUCUACUUGUUAGGGGAACUACAUGAGCACCAAACUGCAUAUUUGCUACAGAUGUGUAGGGGAUCUAGGUCCAGCUCCUGCAUGCUCCCUGGUUGGUGGCCCAGGCUCUGUGAGGCCCCAUGAUCCCAGGUUAUUUGACUCUAUGGGUCUUUGAUGGUGUUCUUGACCCUUUCAACUUGCUCACUUCUAUCCCUUACUCUUCCACAAGAUUCCCCAGGCUCUGCCUGAUAUUUGGAUGUGGGUCUCUGCAUCUACCUCUAUUCACUGUUGGAUGAAGCUUCUCAGGAGACAGUUAUGCUAGAUUCCUGUCUACAAGCAUAGCAGAGUAUGAUUAAUAGUGUCAGGGUUGGCUCUCUCACAUGGGAUGGGUCUCUAGUUGGGGCAGUCAUUGGAUGGCUGUUUCCUUAGUCUCUGUUCCAUCUUUAUCUGUUUUAUUAUUUCCUUCCACUGGUUGUGCUCUCAUAGAUUUCUUUAAGGAAUUUAUUCAUUUCCUACCUAAGAACUUCUAAUGUAUUCAUAAAGACUAUUUGAAGGUCUUUUUCUUGUGCUUAAGCUAUUAUGCAAUAUUCAUGGCCUGCUUGUGGUAAUGUUGCUUGGCUCUAGUGUAGAUAUAUUGUUCUGGCUGUUAUUGAUUGUAUUUUUACACUGGCAUUUAAGCUCUGGGAUUAGAAAGAUUGUAAUUCUAGGUGCUGAUAUCUGGUCUGGUCUUUGUUGAGUGGGUGUUUUGUUCCUUUGUUUCUGUUACUCUGUCUGCUUCUUUUGUUUGUUUGUUUGUUUGUUUUGUUUGUUUGCUUUUCAAGAUAGGAUUUCUCUGUGUGGCUCUGGCUCUCCUGGAACUCAUUAUGUAGACCAGGCUGGCCUUGAAUUCAGAGAUCCACCUGCCUCUGCCUCCAGAGUGCUGUGAUUAAAAGCAAGUGCCACCACUGCCCAACUAAAGAUUAAAUUCUUUGGAACUCACUAAGUAGAUGAGGCUGGCCUCAAACUCAGAGAUCUACCUGCCUCUGCCUCUGGAGUGCUGAGGUUAAAGGCAUGUGCCACCUUGUCCCACCUGUCCCCUUCUUUCUGUGUUUUAGGAGAGUAUGGUGGUUGUGUGUUACCUGGUAGGAAAUUCUUCUGGUAUCCUGAUUGGUUUGGCUACUGGGGGUUUUCCAUGUAAAAUAUGUUUCUAGGUACUGGGAACUGACACUUAGGAGUGGGGAUAGGUACGGAGUGGGAUUUUGACAGGGUCCACCAGAGGGUGAAAAGCAGUGUGUUCCAUCAGGACUGCUUAGUCCCCUGGGAAUGGGGUCAAAGGGUAGGGAAAAGCCACAGCUACAGAGGUGGAGUUAAGGCUUGGGAAAAUUAGACUUGGAGGAAUGGAAGGAGGAGUGAGGGUCUGCAGUCAGCAUUCUUUCUUCCCUAGCUGGAGUGGCCUAUGGGUUCUCAGGGAAUACUUGAUGAAGUUGGGGGGCUAGAAUAAAGCAAGGGGUUGGACAGAAGUUUGGAGGGGAAGAUCUGCAGUUAGCCUAUCUGCUUCCCCAGCUGGAAUGCUCAUUCCAUUAUUUUCAACCCAGACUCUAUAGACUUGACCACUAGAGCAGAGAGGUGUUAUCCUGAGGAUUUGAGAAAUGACAAGCUAGUGAGUUCUAUACGUUUCUUUAUUGUUAACCACAUGUUCAGUAUAGGGUGUUGAAGUUCUCUUCAGUUCCCUCAGCUACUAACAGACAGACAAAAAUUUCCACAUGACCAUGACAUUUCUCGGUGCCCAAAGCAGGUGAUCUAACAGAAGAAAACUUCUAUGAGUACUUUUGUGAAUACUUGCCCAACUGCAGCCCAACACCAAGGUAUUUGCCUUUCCUCCCCUCCCAACUCCCUGCCAGGCAUUGCAGACAGGCAGCAUGUUUUAGUCCUGCUACCCAGAGAUUAGAUUAUUAUGCAAUUCUCUGCCUUCUUUCAUGGCAGAUAUAGAUCCCAUUUCCCCUAUUAGGUCAUGCUAACAAGCCCUGGUGGAGAGCUGACUUUACCCCUGGCAAAAGCAAACAGUGUCCCAACUGUUCUUCCAGAGCAAUGUUGGCCAUAUCCAUCUUGGAGCUGAAUUUCCAAUGCCUAGUAGCUAUUGGUAGGUGAUGUAGAUAGACACUAAAUGUUAUUGCACUUGACCUCUGUUGCCUCCUAGUCCUGCCCUCAGCUUCCACACCUAUGGGCUCAAAAAAUAAACUAAGGUAUGUGGCUAGUUGAUACUCCUUCCUUCCUCCCUCCCUCCAAUUCCCUGGCAUAAAUGGAACCCAUUGGUUGCUUAGUCUUUCAGUGUCCCCAUCCCUAAUGGUAGCUUGAACCAGGAAGGGGAAGCUUGUCAACUUUCAUGGAGGCAACAGAAGUGGAGAAUUGGAAUCUUACUUCAACUGGAAAGACAUUGGUGAGCUGAGUGUCCACCCUAACUGUCUGUGAUACUCCAGUGAGUCAGUGCUUCACUUCUAUCACUGUAAUGGCAGAGAGGGAGGCCCCAGCGGUUAUCAGAACAUGCAUUCUACCAGUCACUGGUAUUAUAUAUUUUUAUGGGAAAACUGCCUUCUAGUUGAAGUAAAGCAGGAUCCAGUAUCUUAUUAUCAGACACACAGGAUGAAAUUAGAAAAUUACUUAUUCCAAGAAGUAGAAAUAUAACUCCAAUGGGAAAGUCUAGUCAACAGGUGCUAACACUUGAGAUUCAUCUCAUACGUAUUAGAAGACACCAUGACAACAGUGUUCUAACAAGCCAUUACAAAUUCUCAAAAUAAGAGAUUAGGAAUCCUCACUUCAGAAAUAGAAUUAUUGCCGGGCAUGGUGGCACACGCCUUUAAUCCUAGCACAUGGGAGGCAGAGGCAGGCGGAUUUCUGAGUUUGAGGCCAGCCUGGUCUACAGAGUGAGUUCUAGGACAGCCAGGGCUAUACAGAGAAACCCUGUCUCGAAAAUACCAAAAAAAAAAAAUAAUAACAAUAAAAUUGUUUGUAUUUAAAAGGGACUGAAGGAUAUUAUAGAACCGAAAAUAAUUACACCUUAUGGGGCACAGUAGCAGAGUGGGGCAAAGUCUACAAAAACAGUAAACUUAAAGAAUGCCAGAGCAAAUAUUGAAAGAAUUUUACUAUCCCCUAGCAUCUAAGUUCCAGAAGGAAAGAAUAACAAGAAUGAAACAAAAAACAAUUUGAAAUAAUCUGAAAACCUGAAUUUGGUAAAUGACAUCCAGCAAUUAAACCCAAUUAAUCCCAUGCCAUGAUGUAUCAUGAUUGUGAUAUCUGAAUAAGAAUGUUCCCCAUAGGCUCAUGUGUUUGAACAGUUGGUUCUCAGUUGGUUGGAUUGUUUGGGGAGAUUAAGGAUUAAGGAGGAAUUACAUCACUGGGGACAAGCCUUGAGUGUUUACAGUCUCUCCCCUUAUCCAGUUCACUUCCUUUGCUUCAUGCUUAUAGUUGAAGUUGUGAGUUCUCAGCUUCUUGCUGUGGUCCAUGCCUGCCAUUUGCUGCAUGCCCCCCCCCCCUUCCAAUGAUGGUUCCUGUGGAAUUAAAGCAAAACCAGAUUAAUUCUUCCAUAAGUUUCUUUUGGUCAUGAUGUUUUAUUGCAACGACAGAAAAGUAACGGAUACAACCAUUAAAUGUCUACAAGCCAAAGAUGGGGAAUUUGAGCAGGAGGAGCCUUUUUGUGUGCAGUAUUGGGGCCAGAGAGAAGUGACAGAGCUUUCCAAGUACUAAAAGAAAAGCAACUAAUCACAGGUUCUAUAUGCAACCAAAUUAUCCUCUAGGACUGAAGAGGAAAAUGAAACCUUGGAUGGAAGAAACCUGAGAAUUUAUUGCUGACAAACAUACUACUAAAGGGCCUGCACAUGCACAGAUGAACCUCACUACAUAAGGUGGUGCUCUGGGGGACUUCUCCAUGGAAAAGUUUGAAGUUGUACUCCUUUCACAAUGACUCUUGUGCUUUAUUACAGAGUUAAAAAUAAACCUAUUUUUAAAAGUCGGAAGCCUUCAAGUGUUGCUGCAGAAGCCGAAGGCUCUUUGGAACAUGUGAACACUACAGCACAGUAGUGCAUGGAAAGAAUGCUGUUAGGAGCUGUUUUUUGUUUUUUUGUUUUGUUUUGUUUUUUGAGUUGGAGGAUUUUAUUUUCAGAUGAUUUAUUGGUUUACAGUGUGGAUGUUUUUGCAGAUAUAAUGGUCUGUGUUCUGUAAGAUCUGACUUGUUUCAUAGUAGCUAUUCAGUGAUUAAAUAUGUUAACAUCAAAAGAACACAUUGCAGAAAGGUACUGGGACAUAACAUUUGUUAAAUGAGAUUACAAAGAGAUGGAGCCAACCUCCUAAUUUAAUAUAAACAUACCAUGUAAAUAGCCCGAAGUAGCUGCGACUUUUCAAGAAAUCAUGCUAUUCUGAGAAAUAGUUAAUAAAAUCCUGACUCGAUGUUGUGAAAUACUUUAAGAUAUUAUUCUCAUAUAUUUGUACCAUGAGGCUUUUUAAAACAACAAAAUAAAGCAACCGUCAAUCAA